GCACUGGCUCUGGCUCCUGGCCCAGUGCCCGUGCCCGCGGUGCUGAGAGAAGGGAUGGAGACGCAGCUCCGCCCGGGAGGACGGGAGCCAGGGCAGAGGAGGCGGGCCUGGCUUGCAGGCCGCUGUGAACACCGACAGGAGACUUCAGACACCUGCUUAAUCGCAGCUGUGAGCGGCUCCUUCCCAGGCACGGGCUCCAAGCCCAGGCCUUUCUUCUCCAGGCCUGAGGCCCUUGUGUGAUGCGUUUGAAGACCGGGCUUUGUCUGGAAGGAGGCACGACCCGUGCCCCAGCCCUGGAUGCAGGAACCGCCCAGGCCUCCGGGUUUCUCUUCCUGGAACCCUCCACGGCUCCCUCGUGCUGCUGAGUGGGGAUGAGAUGGGGCCUUAGGGGGACCUGACCCUGCUCAGCCCUGCUUGUUAAGGGGGACAGCUGCCUCCACCACCGAGAAGGCCGAGGAAGCGCCUCCAGCUCCCACGAGGAGUGGGGCCUCGGGGACAUGUGCUCCAGCCUCCGCGUGUCAGCCAGACGCAUGCUCCCAGGCUCCGUGGGCAGGACCGGGCAGGGCGAGGCAGGAGGACGGAGGAGGGACCCACUGGACCCAGUGGCUCUCAUCUUCUUCUCGUAUCAGGCCUCCUGGGGGCCUCCGGUCUUUGUGAAGUCCGCAUCUUGAUGCUUCAAUCCAGAGUCUGAAAGAGGAGAGCUGAGGGGAGAAGACGCUGGUUUACCCCGUCAGUGUGCGCCGACUGGGCGCAAGAGGCCCCCGCACGCCAGCUCCGUGCCC
rnacentral:lncRNA from 1 species